UACAUAAAACACACUCACAAUUAGUUCAUACAUGGGUUACUUAACAUGUUGUUGUUUCUCUCUGUUGUCGCCGGUCCAUCUGCUGGAGGGAGUCGACAGAAAAGUCUCUGGUUGCGUUCCUAGUGGAUACGUCAGGCAUACCCAUGUUGUCGCAUAGAAUAGAUGUUUCGGCGGUUGUCGGUAUUCUUCGUCCUCGGCUACGUACAUUUCCAGCUGCAGACUGAAAAGGCCUCGUAUAACAUUUGCUCCUUCUGAGAUCCACCUCUAAUUUCACAGCAAGGAAGAAAUGGUUACAUGUCCCUUAUAUAGUGGGAGGUGAUAAUACAAUCAUAUUGUUUACACAACAGUUCUUCUAUACAUCAAUAGUUCUGGAACACAAUGGCCUUGUGUUAGGGUGCAGACAUACAAGUAGUCUAUGAAACGCAAAACAUCACAGUCCAACACAGAACAUAUCCCUUGAGAAGUUACAACAGCUCACCCCAAAUUCUUCCACCACAACAUCUUUCAAAACAGAUUUGAUGCUCAGUACAUAUUUGUCAAACUGAUACCAGUGGAUAAUCAAGCACAAUACAAACAUUUCAGUUACCACGCCUGUCCUCCAAUAUUGCACAGCACUUUAGCUAAGACAGGGAGGGAGUUGAUAGAUAGCUAAACCAAAGCAAAUGUAAUGGACUUCCGCAUUUGGAUUAAU